rnacentral:lncRNA from 1 species
UCUCCACUGAAACACUUUGUGCUGGAUAAGAAGGCAAUUACUGAAAUCUUUGACCAGUUACUGGAGUUUGUUACUGAGGAUCACAUAUUGUUGAACAACAUAUAAGAAUCUAGAACUUGACUGAGCUACUGAGGAUAAUCAAGUAGAAAUGUAAGAAUAUAAAAACAAGCUUUCUAUCAUUGGUAAGGUGCUAUCUCGGAGACAAAUGAAGGUGGCAUUUUUUGGCAGGACAAGCUCUGUUAUCAAUGCAAUGUUGUGGGAUAAAGCUCUCCUUAGUGGGAUUGAUCAUACAACCAAUUGCUUCCAAAGUGUUUAAGAGACCAAUGGAGAUAAAACCUAUCUUAUGACAAAAGGAUAAGAUGAAAAAACAGUGUAAACACAGUUCAUCAGCUGUCCUAUGCCCUUCAUGUGGACAAAGGCUUGGAAGCUGGCUGUCUUAUACAUGUGUUUUGGCCAAAGACAAAGUGUGUCCUCUUGAAAGGUGAGCUGGUUUUAGUAGACAGUCCAGGCACAGAUGUCACUACAGAGCUGGAUACCUGGAUUGAUGAGUGUUGCUUAGAUGCUUAUGUCAUCAUUUUGUUUGUAAACUCUGAAUCAACACUAAUGAACACAGAAAAACAUUUUUUUCACAAGGUAAAUGAGCAGCUUUCCAAGCCUAAUAAUUUAAUUCUGAAUAAUCACUGGGAUGUCGCUUCAUCAGAGCCAGAAUAUAUGGAAGAUGUAUGUAGACAGCACAUGGAAAGAUGCUUGCAUUUCUUUGUGGAGGAGGUUAAAGUUGUGGAUCCUUUAGAAGCACAGAAUCAUAUAUUCUUCAUUUCAGCAAAGGAAGUUCUUAGUGCUAGACAGCACAAACCACAGGGGAUGCCAGAAAGCAGUGAAGUACUUGGUAAACGAUUUCAGGCAAGAUUACAGGAGUUUCAGAAUUUUAACAAAUCUUUAAGGAGUGUAUCUCACAAUCAGCAGUGAAAACAGGGUUGAAACAGCACACUAUCGGAGCUAAGCCAAUACUAGAUAUUGUGAAAAACACAAUGGAUUCAAUAAACGUGGCAGCAACAGAGAAGAGUUUAUUCAAAGAAAGAGCGGGAAGAACAAAUCGACAGACUGAGCUUUAUCCCAAACCAGAUGAACCUUUUAACACUAGAUGUUAAGAAAAAAAUCAGGGAGGUUACCAAGGAAGUGGCAAACAAGGUUUCACGUGCAAAGACAGAUGAAAUUUGUUGACUGUCUGUUUUGGUUGAUGAAUUUUAUUCAGUUUCAUCCUACUCCACGUGUAUUGAAAGUAUGUAAAGGUGACUUAAAUUAGCACUUAGAAGACGGUAUCAGAAGAAAUAUGGCUGAUUGAUGCACCAAUUAAGACAAUGCCUCAAUGUUUAAUCCAAGCAAGAAAUUAUUAAAAAUUUGAAACCAUUACUUUCAGCUAUAUAUAGAAUAAACUGCAUACACUAAUCCCUUGCAAGAAAUUUGAUCUCAGUCAUGACCUAUAUUGCCACAAGUUAUGACCAGAUUUUCAAGAGGGUAUUGUAUUCCAUUUUUCCCUGGGCUGGUCUUCACUUGUGCAUUGAUUCCUGGGCCCUACAAAUGCUCAGAGGGUGCUCCUAGGAUUGUCAGAGCCUAACUUUCCCUAGCUCUUUAGCCUGUACUCCCACUGCUUCUAUCAACCCAGCAACACCAGAUAAUGCAUCACACAAAGAACUCAUGGUUACCUUAAUAACAGGAUUAGCUUCUCUUACAUCUAGGACUUCUACGGACAUCACUGUUGGAGGAGUAAUUUGGAAAACUAUAGGCUGGCAAUUCGUAUAUGUUUCAUUAUGUAUGUAUGGAGUUUGGUAUCUUUAUGGAAGGCUGUCCUGGACCACUUGUGCCAAGGAAAGAGGCUUUAAACAACAGUUUGUGAACUAUGCUUCUGAAAAACUUCAGAUAAUUGCUAGCUUCAGGAAUGCAAACUGCAGCCAUGAAGUACAACAAGAAAUGGCUAUCACUUUCGCUUGCCAGUGCCAACAAGUUGUUACUAAAAGACAUCUGGAAGAAAUUACUAGAUUAUCCAAAGAAAUAGAUCAGUUAGAGAACAUACAAAACAAUUCAAAACUCUU